UGCGCAAGGGGGGACUUGAACCCCCACGCCCGAAGGCACAGGAACCUAAAUCCUGCGUGUCUGCCAAUUUCACCACUCGCGC
rnacentral:tRNA from 1 species